rnacentral:rRNA from 1 species
GGGAGGACGCUCACCACUUUGUGGUUCAUGACUGGGGUGAAGUCGUAACAAGGUAGCCCUAGGGGAACCUGGGGCUGGAUCACCUCCUUAAACGAUAGAU